CAUAUAUGCGAGUAUUUGGGUGGCAAGCCCUGAUGCGCAAUGAAAGUAAAUGUGGCCUUGUGUCACUGAGGUAGGAACCGCUGCCGUAAGGCUGGUGGGGCACUAUCGUCCGAUCAUCACUUGUGAGAGAUUUGAGUAAGAGCAUAUCUGUUGGGACCCGAAAGAUGGUGAUCUAUGCCUGAACAGGGUGAAGCCAGGGGAAACUCUGGUGGAGGCUCGUAGCGAUACUGACGUGCAAAUCGUUCGUCUGAUUUGGGUAUAGGGGCGAAAGACUAAUCGAACCAUUUAGUAGCUGGUUCCCUCCGAAGUUUCCCUCAGGAUAGCUGGAACUUAUACAGUUUUAUCAGGUAAAGCUAAUGAUUAGAGGUCCUGGAGCUGAAACAGCUUUAACCUAUUCUCAAACUUUAAAUAGGUAAGAAGUACGGUGUUACUUAACUGAACCUGUACCUUCGAAUGAAGAGUUCUUAGUGGGCCAUUUUUGGUAAGCAGAACUGGCGAUGCGGGAUGAACCGGACGUGGUGUUACGGUGCC
rnacentral:rRNA from 1 species